AGCGUACACGGUGGAUGCCCUGGCAGUCAGAGGCGAUGAAGGGCGUGCUAAUCUGCGAUAAGCGCCGGUAAGGUGAUAUGAACCGUUAUAACCGGCGAUACCCGAAUGGGGAAACCCAGUGUGANUCGUCACACUAUCAUUAACUGAAUCCAUAGGUUAAUGAGGCGAACCGGGGGAACUGAAACAUCUAAGUACCCCGAGGAAAAGAAAUCAACCGAGAUUCCCCCAGUAGCGGCGAGCGAACGGGGAGGAGCCCAGAGCCUGAAUCAGCAUGUGUGUUAGUGGAAGCGUCUGGAAAGGCGCGCGAUACAGGGUGACAGCCCCGUACACAAAAGCGCAUGUGCUGUGAGCUCGAUGAGUAGGGCGGGACACGUGGUAUCCUGUCUGAAUAUGGGGGGACCAUCCUCCAAGGCUAAAUACUCCUGACUGACCGAUAGUGAACCAGUACCGUGAGGGAAAGGCGAAAAGAACCCCGGCGAGGGGAGUGAAAAAGAACCUGAAACCGUGUACGUACAAGCAGUGGGAGCNGCUUUGGGGUGGGGUGACUGCGUACCUUUUGUAUAAUGGGUCAGCGACUUAUAUUCUGUAGCAAGGUUAACCGAAUAGGGGAGCCGGAGGGAAACCGAGUCUUAAUUGGGCGUUAAGUUGCAGGGUAUAGACCCGAAACCCGGUGAUCUAGCCAUGGGCAGGUUGAAGGUUGGGUAACACUAACUGGAGGACCGAACCGACUAAUGUUGAAAAAUUAGCGGAUGACCUGUGGCUGGGGGUGAAAGGCCAAUCAAACCGGGAGAUAGCUGGUUCUCCCCGAAAGCUAUUUAGGUAGCGCCUCGUGAAUUCAUCUCCGGGGGUAGAGCACUGUUUCGGCUAGGGGGCCAUCCCGGCUUACCAACCCGAUGCAAACUGCGAAUACCGGAGAAUGUUAUCACGGGAGACACACGGCGGGUGCUAACGUCCGUCGUGAAGAGGGAAACAACCCAGACCGCCAGCUAAGGUCCCAAAGUCAUGGUUAAGUGGGAAACGAUGUGGGAAGGCCCAGACAGCCAGGAUGUUGGCUUAGAAGCAGCCAUCAUUUAAAGAAAGCGUAAUAGCUCACUGGUCGAGUCGGCCUGCGCGGAAGAUGUAACGGGGCUAAACCAUGCACCGAAGCUGCGGCAGCGACGCUUAUGCGUUGUUGGGUAGGGGAGCGUUCUGUAAGCCUGUGAAGGUGGCCUGUGAGGGUUGCUGGAGGUAUCAGAAGUGCGAAUGCUGACAUAAGUAACGAUAAAGCGGGUGAAAAGCCCGCUCGCCGGAAGACCAAGGGUUCCUGUCCAACGUUAAUCGGGGCAGGGUGAGUCGACCCCUAAGGCGAGGCCGAAAGGCGUAGUCGAUGGGAAACGGGUUAAUAUUCCCGUACUUGGUGUUACUGCGAAGGGGGGACGGAGAAGGCUAUGUUGGCCGGGCGACGGUUGUCCCGGUUUAAGCGUGUAGGUGUGUGUUCCAGGUAAAUCCGGUUCACUUUAACACUGAGGCGUGAUGACGAGGCACUACGGUGCUGAAGCAACAAAUGCCCUGCUUCCAGGAAAAGCCUCUAAGCAUCAGGUAACAUCAAAUCGUACCCCAAACCGACACAGGUGGUCAGGUAGAGAAUACCAAGGCGCUUGAGAGAACUCGGGUGAAGGAACUAGGCAAAAUGGUGCCGUAACUUCGGGAGAAGGCACGCUGACACGUAGGUGAAGUGAUUUACUCAUGGAGCUGAAGUCAGUCGAAGAUACCAGCUGGCUGCAACUGUUUAUUAAAAACACAGCACUGUGCAAACACGAAAGUGGACGUAUACGGUGUGACGCCUGCCCGGUGCCGGAAGGUUAAUUGAUGGGGUCAGCGCAAGCGAAGCUCCUGAUCGAAGCCCCGGUAAACGGCGGCCGUAACUAUAACGGUCCUAAGGUAGCGAAAUUCCUUGUCGGGUAAGUUCCGACCUGCACGAAUGGCGUAAUGAUGGCCAGGCUGUCUCCACCCGAGACUCAGUGAAAUUGAACUCGCUGUGAAGAUGCAGUGUACCCGCGGCAAGACGGAAAGACCCCGUGAACCUUUACUAUAGCUUGACACUGAACAUUGAGCCUUGAUGUGUAGGAUAGGUGGGAGGCUUUGAAGUGUGGACGCCAGUCUGCAUGGAGCCGACCUUGAAAUACCACCCUUUAAUGUUUGAUGUUCUAACGUGGACCCGUGAUCCGGGUUGCGGACAGUGUCUGGUGGGUAGUUUGACUGGGGCGGUCUCCUCCUAAAGAGUAACGGAGGAGCACGAAGGUUGGCUAAUCCUGGUCGGACAUCAGGAGGUUAGUGCAAUGGCAUAAGCCAGCUUGACUGCGAGCGUGACGGCGCGAGCAGGUGCGAAAGCAGGUCAUAGUGAUCCGGUGGUUCUGAAUGGAAGGGCCAUCGCUCAACGGAUAAAAGGUACUCCGGGGAUAACAGGCUGAUACCGCCCAAGAGUUCAUAUCGACGGCGGUGUUUGGCACCUCGAUGUCGGCUCAUCACAUCCUGGGGCUGAAGUAGGUCCCAAGGGUAUGGCUGUUCGCCAUUUAAAGUGGUACGCGAGCUGGGUUUAGAACGUCGUGAGACAGUUCGGUCCCUAUCUGCCGUGGGCGCUGGAGAACUGAGGGGGGCUGCUCCUAGUACGAGAGGACCGGAGUGGACGCAUCACUGGUGUUCGGGUUGUCAUGCCAAUGGCACUGCCCGGUAGCUAAAUGCGGAAGAGAUAAGUGCUGAAAGCAUCUAAGCACGAAACUUGCCCCGAGAUGAGUUCU
rnacentral:rRNA from 1 species